AUUGAACGCUGGCGGCAGGCCUAACACAUGCCAGUCGAGCGGAUGAAGGGAGCUUGCUCCUGGAUUCAGCGGCGGACGGGUGAGUAAUGCCUAGGAAUCUGCCUGGUAGUGGGGGAUAACGUCCGGAAACGGGCGCUAAUACCGCAUACGUCCUGAGGAAGAAAGUGGGGGAUCUUCGGACCUCACGCUAUCAGAUGAGCCUAGGUCGGAUUAGCUAGUUGGUGGGGUAAAGGCCUACCAAGGCGACGAUCCGUAACUGGUCUGAGAGGAUGAUCAGUCACACUGGAACUGAGACACGGUCCAGACUCCUACGGGAGGCAGCAGUGGGGAAUAUUGGACAAUGGGCGAAAGCCUGAUCCAGCCAUGCCGCGUGUGUGAAGAAGGUCUUCGGAUUGUAAAGCACUUUAAGUUGGGAGGAAGGGCAGUAAGUUAAUACCUUGCUGUUUUGACGGUACCAACAGAAUAAGCACCGGCUAACUUCGUG
rnacentral:rRNA from 1 species